rnacentral:sRNA from 1 species
AUUAGCUAUAACCAGUGUUUUUACGCCCGACCGGUUAACCUGUGACCCGAACACUUUUCCGGUUUGGGUUUAGUGCUAAAACCCAACAAGUUCAAAAUCGAAAAAACCCACAAAAACUCGCAAUUAACCCGUGACCCGGUGAACCGGUUGAACCGGCCGGGUGUGGGUUUUAAAAAGUUCUCUUGAUUUUACAAUAAAAUAUGGGAUUUUAGACUUUAUUCAAUUAUUUUUAAAAGUUUUUUCAGUUCUUAAAUUCAUUUGAUAUUUUAGAUUUUGGUGAAGACUUUACAAUACCGCCUUAAAAUUGAAUCGAAUGGUGAGAGAGACAACCGAGAUUAGUUGUUUGAAUUCACGAUGUUUUAUUAAUUUAUUUCUGUCAUUGAUGAUCUCUUAAUAUAUUUGUUACGGUGUUAGACAUUUAGUUGGAUUUCAAAUUUUUAACCACUUUAUUAUUAUUGUUUGAUUUUUUCUAUAUAUUUGGG